UACGUAGGGUGCGAGCGUUGUCCGGAAUUAUUGGGCGUAAAGGGCUCGUAGGCGGUCUGUUGCGUCAGGAGUGAAAACUCGGGGCUUAACCCCCGAGCCUGCUUCUGAUACGGGCAGACUAGAGGUAUGCAGGGGGAGAACGAAUUCCUGGUGUAGCGGGUGAAAAUGCGCAGAUAUCAGGAGGAACACCGGUGGCGAAGGCGGUUCUCUG
rnacentral:rRNA from 1 species